GCGUAGGCGGGGCCUUAUGUCGGAGGUGAAAGCGCUGGGCCCAACCCAGCAACUGCCUCCGAAACUGGGGCUCUUGAGUGCAGGAGAGGGGAGUGGAAUUGCUGGUGUAGCGGUGAAAUGCGUAGAGAUCAGCAGGAACACCCGUGGCGAAGGCGGCUCCCUGGACUGUAACUGACGCUGAGGCGCGAAAGCUAGGGGAGCGAACGGGAUUAGAUACCCCGGUAGUCCUAGCCGUAAACGAUGGUCACUAGGUGUUGGGGGUAUCGACCCCCCCGGUGCCGUAGCUAACGUGUUAAGUGACCCGCCUGGGGAGUACGGCCGCAAGGCUGAAACUCAAAGGAAUUGACGGGGGCCCGCACAAGCGGUGGAGCAUGUGGCUCAAUUCGAGGCAACGCGAAGAACCUUACCAGGGCUUGACAUCCCUGGAACUCUCUGGAAACAGAGGGGUGCCCCGCAAGGGGAGCCAGGAGACAGGUGGUGCAUGGCUGUCGUCAGCUCGUGUCGUGAGAUGUUGGGUUAAGUUCCGCAACGAGCGCAACCCCUAUCGCGUGUUGCCAGCGGGUAACGCCGGGGACUCACGCGAAACUGCCAGAGCAAUCUGGAGGAAGGUGGGGAUGACGUCUAGUCCGCAUGCCCCUUAUGUCCAGGGCUACACACGUGCUACAAUGGCCGGUACAAAGAGUUGCGAUACCGUGAGGUGGAGCC
rnacentral:rRNA from 1 species